AUGGCGGCGGUGGCGACUGUGAGCUCGGCCGGCGGGAUCCUCGCCAUGCUCCACGAGCCGGCGGAGGAGCUCAAGCUGCACGCGCUCGCCAGCCUCAACUCCGUCGUCCACCUCUUCUACCCCGAGAUCUCCACCAGCAUCCCCACCAUUGAGAGCUUGUAUGAAGAUGAGGAGUUUGACCAGAGACAGCUAGCUGCACUAGUUGUUUCUAAGGUAUUUUAUUACUUGGGCGAGUUAAAUGAUGCACUAUUGUAUGCACUUGGUGCUGGGCCUCUGUUUGACGUUUCUGAGGAUUCAGAUUAUGCUCAUGCUCUUCUAGCCAAAGCAUUAGAUGAAUAUGCGAGUUUCAAGACAAGAGCUUCUAAAGCUACCGAGGAAGAAGAAAAUGUGGAUCCUAGAUUAGAGGCCAUAGUGGAGAGGAUGUUGGAGAAGUGUGUUCUUGAUGGGAAAUACCAACAGGCCAUGGGUAUGGCUGUUGAAUGCAGGAGACUGGAUAAACUGGAGGAAGCAAUUGUUCGGUGUGAUAAUAUUCACGGGGCUCUUUCAUAUUGCAUCAACCUUUCUCAUCAAUAUGUUAGUCACCGUGAAUAUCGCUGUGAGGUUCUUCGCUGUCUUGUUAAAAUAUACCAGACUUUGCCGCAUCCAGAUUUUCUGAGCAUCUGCCAGUGCCUUAUGUUUCUGGGUGAGCCUGAAACUGUUGCGAAUAUAUUGGACACACUAAUUUCUGGAAGCAAGGAUGAUGCUCUCCUUGCAUACCAAAUUGCUUUUGAUCUGGUGGAAAAUGAAAAUCAGGCCUUCCUACUGAAUGUGAGGAAUCGCCUGGACUCUCAGACUCCUGGUCAGUCCAACCCUGAUAGCGGUUCAGCUUUACCAGUCGAUCAGACUGUUAACGCGGGUACAACUAGCACAGAACCAGCGGGUGAUGUUCAGAUGGGAGAUGACACUACUACGGCAAAUGGAAACGCUCACCCGGUUGAUCCAAAUGAGGCAGUGCAUGCUGAUAAGCUUGCAAAACUUAAAGGGAUACUGUCAGGGGAGAAGUCUAUUCAGCUUACGCUGCAAUUUUUGUAUAGCCACAACAGGUCCGAUCUUCUAAUUCUGAAGACAAUAAAGCAGGCUGUGGAAAUGAGGAACAGUGUUUGCCAUAGCGCAACUAUUUGCUCCAAUGCGAUCAUGCAUGCAGGAACAACUGUAGAUACUUUUCUAAGAGAGAAUCUGGAGUGGUUGAGCAGGGCUACUAAUUGGGCUAAAUUCAGUGCAACAGCUGGGCUAGGUGUGAUUCAUAGAGGCCACCUUCAGCAAGGUCGGGCUUUGAUGGCCCCAUACCUACCUCAAAGUGGUGCAGUUGGUGGUGGCAGUCCAUACUCGGAAGGUGGUGCCCUCUAUGCUUUAGGUUUGAUUCAUGCCAACCAUGGCGAAGGAAUCAAACAAUUCCUCCGUGAAAGCCUUCGCAACACCAGUGCAGAGGUCAUCCAGCAUGGUGCCUGUUUGGGACUUGGGCUUGCAUCUCUGGGGACAGCAGAUGAAGAAGUGUUUGAAGACAUAAAGAAUGUCCUUUACACAGACAGUGCUGUGGCUGGUGAAGCAGCUGGUAUUGGCAUGGGUUUGCUCAUGGUUGGGACAGCCAGUGAGAAGGCCGCUGAGAUGCUCGCUUAUGCACAUGAUACACAGCAUGAAAAGAUUAUCAGGGGUUUGGCACUUGGCAUCGCAUUGACAGUGUAUGGCAGGGAGGAGGAAGCUGACACCUUGAUCGAACAAAUGACUAGAGAUCAAGAUCCCAUACUACGUUAUGGUGGUAUGUAUGCAUUGGCUCUAGCCUACAGAGGAACUGCAAACAACAAAGCUAUCCAUCAGCUGCUGCAUUUUGCUGUAUCGGACGUCAGUGAUGAUGUUCGUAGGACUGCUGUUAUGGGUCUUGGAUUUGUUCUAUACAACGAACCUGAGCAGACUCCAAGAAUUGUGUCCCUGCUCUCUGAAUCGUACAACCCACAUGUUCGUUAUGGUGCAGCUUUAGCUGUUGGGAUAUCCUGUGCAGGAACAGGGUUAAGUGAUGCCAUUUCCUUGUUGGAGCCUCUCACAUCGGACGUUGUUGACUUUGUGCGCCAGGGGGCUCUAAUUGCUAUGGCAAUGGUCAUGAUCCAGACGAACGAGUCCUUUGAUUCUCGUGUUGGAACAUUCAGGCGUCAGUUGGAGAAGAUCAUUCUUGACAAGCAUGAGGACACCAUGAGCAAAAUGGGCGCCAUUCUUGCUUCUGGUAUUCUGGAUGCUGGUGGUAGGAAUGUCACAAUUAAACUUCUCUCGAGGAACAAGCAUGACAAGCUCACUGCUGUGAUUGGCCUUGCUGUAUUCACCCAGUUCUGGUACUGGUAUCCUCUCCUAUACUUCAUUAGCCUGGCCUUCUCGCCAACAGCCAUCAUUGGUCUCAACUCAAACCUGGAAGUGCCGAAGUUUGAGUUUCUGUCACAUGCUAAACCGUCCCUCUUUGAGUAUCCGAAACCGACCACUCAGCAGACUACGACUUCAGCAGUCAAGUUGCCCACAGCCAUUUUGUCAACCUAUGCCAAGGCAAAAUCUAGGGCGAAGAAGGAUGCAGAAAGCAAAGCUGCUAACCAGGAGAAGACAGCAGAAGCAGAAAGCAAAGCUAACCAGGAGAAGUCAACAGCAGAAAGCAAACCUAGCCAGGAGAAAUCAACGGAUGCAGAAAGCAAAGCUAAGACAACGGAAGAUGCUUCUGGUUCUACUUCAGGCGAUGCAGCCAAGACACAGGAGAAGGACGGUGAUGCAAUGCAGGUUGACGGCGCGGCAGAGAAGAAGGCCCCGGAGCCAGAACCUGCCUUCCAGAUCCUGGCAAACCCAGCCCGCGUUGUCCCUGCGCAGGAGAAGUUCAUCAAGUUCAUCGAGGGCAGCCGUUACGUCCCCGUGAGGCCCGCUCCCUGCGGGUUCAUCCUCCUCCGAGACACGCAGCCCAGCGAGGCUGAGGAGCUUGUGCUCACCGACGCCCCCGCGACCGUGGCCACGGGCGCCGGCAACAGCGCAGCAGCCGCUGCCGCGGGGCAAGGCUCGGCUGCCAUGGCCGUCGACGACGAGCCCCAGCCGCCCCAACCUUUCGAGUACUCGGCGUAA
rnacentral:rRNA from 1 species